UUUCCGUAGGUGAACCUGCGGAAGGAUCAUUAUCGUAAAACCGAGGUGCGAGGGCUGUCGCUGACCUUUUCGGUCGUGCACGCCCGAGCGCUCUCACACAAUCCAUCUCACCCCUUGUGCACCACCGCGUGGGUCCCUUUCUGGCUCGUCCGGAGGGGGGCCCGCGUUUUCACACAAACUUGAAGUAGUGUAGAAUGUCCUUUUUUUGCGAUAACACGCAAUCAAUACAACUUUCAACAACGGAUCUCUUGGCUCUC
rnacentral:misc_RNA from 1 species